CCACUGAGUGCUUGCACUCAGCAGUUAAAGUGCGAGUGGCGAACGGGUGAGUAACACGUGGGCAAUCUGCCCAAAAGUGGGGGAUAACACUUGGAAACAGGUGCUAAUACCGCAUCAACCGGCUGACCGCAUGGUCGGCCGGGCAAAGACGGCGUCAGCUGUCGCUUUUGGAUGAGCCCGCGGCGUAUUAACUAGUUGGUAAGGUAACGGCUUACCAAGGUGAUGAUACGUAGCCGAACUGAGAGGUUGAUCGGCCACAUUGGGACUGAGACACGGCCCAAACUCCUACGGGAGGCAGCAGUAGGGAAUCUUCCACAAUGGACGCAAGUCUGAUGGAGCAACGCCGCGUGUAUGAAGAAGGUCUUCGGAUCGUAAAAUACUGUUGUCAGAGAAGAACACGUGAUAGAGUAACUGCUAUGGCGCUGACGGUAUCUGACCAGCAAGUCACGGCUAACUACGUGCCAGCAGCCGCGGUAAUACGUAGGUGGCAAGCGUUGUCCGGAUUUAUUGGGCGUAAAGGGAACGCAGGCGGUCUUUUAAGUCUGAUGUGAAAGCCUUCGGCUUAACCGGAGAAGUGCAUUGGAAACUGGAAGACUUGAGUGCAGAAGAGGAGAGUGGAACUCCAUGUGUAGCGGUGAAAUGCGUAGAUAUAUGGAAGAACACCAGUGGCGAAAGCGGCUCUCUGGUCUGUAACUGACGCUGAGGUUCGAAAGC
rnacentral:rRNA from 1 species